rnacentral:rRNA from 1 species
AAACUUAAAUGAAUUGACGGGGAGCACCACAACGGGUGGAGCUUGCGGUUUAAUUGGAUUCAACGCCGGAAAUCUUACCGGGACCGACAGCAAUAUGAAGGCCAGGCUGAAGACUUUGCCGGAUUAGCUGAGAGGUGGUGCAUGGCCGUCGUCAGUUCGUACUGUGAAGCAUCCUGUUAAGUCAGGCAACGAGCGAGACCCACGCCCACAGUUGCCAGCGUACUCUCUGGAGUGACGGGUACACUGUGGGGACCGCCGCUGCUAAAGCGGAGGAAGGAAUGGGCAACGGUAGGUCAGUAUGCCCCGAAUAUCCCGGGCUACACGCGAGCUACAAUGGUUGGUACAAUGGGUAUCUACCCCGAAAGGGGACGGGAAUCUCCUAAAACCAAUCUUAGUUCGGAUUGAGGGCUGCAACUCGCCCUCAUGAAGCUGGAAUCCGUAGUAAUCGCGUUUCAACAGAACGCGGUGAAUACGUCCCUGCUCCUU